AUUGAUUCCUUCGGGAUGAUUUGGAUUCAGCUUAGUGGCGGACGGGUGAGUAACGCGUGAGCAACCUGCCUUUCAGUGGGGGACAACAGUUAGAAAUGACUGCUAAUACCGCAUAAUAUCCUUUUGGGGCAUCCCUUUUGGAUCAAAGAUUUAUUGCUGAAAGAUGGGCUCGCGUCUGAUUAGCUAGUUGGUGGGGUAACGGCCCACCAAGGCGACGAUCAGUAGCCGGACUGAGAGGUUGAACGGCCACAUUGGGACUGAGAUACGGCCCAGACUCCUACGGGAGGCAGCAGUGGGGAAUAUUGGGCAAUGGGGGGAAACCCUGACCCAGCAACGCCGCGUGAGGGAAGAAGGUCUUCGGAUUGUAAACCUCUUUUACCAGGGAAGAAGAAAGUGACGGUACCUGGAGAAAAAGCCACGGCUAACUACGUGCCAGCAGCCGCGGUAAUACGUAGGUGGCAAGCGUUGUCCGGAUUUACUGGGUGUAAAGGGCGUGUAGGCGGGAAGACAGGUCAGAUGUGAAAUGUCGGGGCUCAACCCCGGAACUGCAUUUGAAACCGUUUUUCUUGAGUAUCGGAGAGGCAGGCGGAAUUCCUAGUGUAGCGGUGAAAUGCGUAGAUAUUAGGAGGAACACCAGUGGCGAAGGCGGCCUGCUGGACGACAACUGACGCUGAG
rnacentral:rRNA from 1 species